rnacentral:rRNA from 1 species
GAUGAACGCUGGCGGCGUGCCUAAUACAUGCAAGUCGAACGCAUAGCGAAAGGUGCUUGCACCUUUCAAGUGAGUGGCGAACGGGUGAGUAACACGUGGACAACCUGCCUCAAGGCUGGGGAUAACAUUUGGAAACAGAUGCUAAUACCGAAUAAAACUUAGUGUCGCAUGACACAAAGUUAAAAGGCGCUUCGGCGUCACCUAGAGAUGGAUCCGCGGUGCAUUAGUUAGUUGGUGGGGUAAAGGCCUACCAAGACAAUGAUGCAUAGCCGAGUUGAGAGACGGAUCGGCCACAUUGGGACUGAGACACGGCCCAUACUCCUACGGGAGGCUGCAGUAGGGAAUCUUCCACAAUGGGCGAAAGCCUGAUGGAGCAACGCCGCGUGUGUUAUGAAGGCUUUCGGGUCGUAAAGCACUGUUGUAUGGGAAGAACAGCUAGAAUAGGAAAUGAUUUUAGUUUGACGGUACCAUACCAGAAAGGGACGGCUAAAUACGUG